GACGAACGCUGGCGGCGUGCUUAACACAUGCAAGUCGAACGGAAAGGCCCUGCUUUUGUGGGGUGCUCGAGUGGCGAACGGGUGAGUAACACGUGAGUAACCUGCCCUUGACUUUGGGAUAACUUCAGGAAACUGGGGCUAAUACCGGAUAGGAGCUCCUGCUGCAUGGUGGGGGUUGGAAAGUUUCGGCGGUUGGGGAUGGACUCGCGGCUUAUCAGCUUGUUGGUGGGGUAGUGGCUUACCAAGGCUUUGACGGGUAGCCGGCCUGAGAGGGUGACCGGCCACAUAGGGCUAGGGAAGGGGCCCGGGCGCAACGGGGGGGAAGGGGGGGGAAACUUUGCCAACGGGGCGGAGGGCGGGAAGAAGACCGCCGGGGGGGGGACCGCGGCUUUCGGGUAGGAAACGGUUUCCGCUUGUGACGGGGGCUAAGGACGGGAAAUGGAGAAAAAGGACCGGCUAACUACGGG
rnacentral:rRNA from 1 species